ACGCGCUGAAGAAAGACAGUAACAGAACAGAGAAGGACCAAAUGGAAGCGAAAAUGAUAUAUAUGUAUGCUCUAUCUCUAUC
rnacentral:ribozyme from 1 species